rnacentral:rRNA from 1 species
GACGAACGCUGGCGGCGUGCUUAACACAUGCAAGUCGAACGGAAAGGCCUGCUUUCCCUUGUGGAUUGCGGGUACUCGAGUGGCGAACGGGUGAGUAACACGUGAGUGAUCUACCCCCAACUUGGGUAUAAGCCUGGGAAACUGGGUCUAAUUCCCGAUAGGACUGCAGGGUGGUGCCUGUGGUGGAAAACGAUUUUCUAGUGGUUGGGGAUGAGCUCGCGGCCUAUCAGCUUGUUGGUGGGGUAAUGGCCUACCAAGGCGGCGACGGGUAGCCGGCCUGAGAGGGUGGACGGCCACAUUGGGACUGAGAUACGGCCCAGACUCCUACGGGAGGCAGCAGUGGGGAAUAUUGCACAAUGGGCGGAAGCCUGAUGCAGCGACGCCGCGUGGGGGAUGACGGCCUUCGGGUUGUAAACUCCUUUCGACCGCGAGGAAGCCACCUGGUUGGAAGGGUGGUGACGGUAGUGGUAGAAGAAGCACCGGCCAACUACGUG